rnacentral:lncRNA from 1 species
UGGAGCUAAAAUUUUUCAGGAUAACAUAAAGUGACAGCACUAAUAUCUACAUUUUUUAAUGAAAGAAGUAUAUUCAGUGCAUAGGCAUGGGCAAAGACUUCAUGACUAAAACAACAAAAGCAAUGGCAACAAAAGCCAAAAUUGACAAAAUGGGAUCUAAUUAAACUAAAGAGCUUUUGCACAGCAAAAGAAACCAUUAUCAGAGUGAACAAGCAACCUGCAGAAUGGGAGAAAAUUUUUGCAAUUUAUCCGUCUGACAAAGGGCUAAU